CGCAACCAAAGCUACACUGGACUGGCUAUGGAAUAAAAGCUGCUGUUGAGUGACUAUGAGAUUUGCUGCUAUGACAUUUUCACUGGUAUGAGCAAAGCACUCAGCGGCAAUACAGUUCAAGUGUGGUGACACAAGAAUGGAUCCCGGACAGUGUUGCCUGCUACAGCUGCCACAGCUUGGACUCCUAUCUGGCUGAUCCCCUCCACUGAAUUCUGCUGAAAGACCUGAAGCUAAAAUACUUCUCAAACUGGAACUGCACUGUUCUAGCCAUACAGAAGAGGUUUAUUUGCAUUGUUUUUCAAAAAUAAUUAAAUAAUUAUUUACUGUUACUUUCUUGUGUAGUCUAAAUUAUUAUUAUUGUUUUUGGACAGAGAUUGCAAAAUCUA